CGCCGUCUUUUUCUUUUGCUCUUAAAUUGUAAAAGAUUAUCUAAAUUUGUUGCAUAAAAGGUCACGAAUCUUUAUUAGCACCAUCAUUCAUUUCUCUUAAGAUUGUGAGAAGUACUGCUUCAUCAUAACAACAAUGGUAUAAGUCAUCGAAGGAUCAAUAAAGCUGUGAGAAAUAGAGUUAAUUAUGAAAUAUAGUUUAAGAUACAUAAAU
rnacentral:lncRNA from 1 species